rnacentral:rRNA from 1 species
UACGGAGGGUGCGAGCGUUGUCCGGAAUCACUGGGCGUAAAGGGCGCGUAGGCGGCUCGAUAAGCGUGUGGUGAAAACCCGGGGCUCAACCCCGGGCCUGCAGUCGAUACGGGCAGACUAGAGUGUGGUAGGGGAGACCGGAAUUCCCGGUGUAGCGGUGAAAUGUGUAGAGAUCGGGAGGAACACCGGUGGCGAAGGCGGUCUUCUGGACGAUGACUGACGCUGAGACGCGAAAGCGUGGGGAGCAAACAGG